GUUACUUCUCCUUAACAAAUUGAUUUUACAGCAUCUAAAUAUUACAUACUACAGGGCGUGACUAUUUGUGUGCCUCCCAUCAACAUUUAGAACUGAUUUAUAUCUAAGAAAAGUGCUGAUGAUGUCUCAUAUUGACUUUAUUUAAUAACGUGAGAACUGCUGCAAAUUUUAAAUGUAAGGUGUUUAUUUGUUUUCUGUUAUUAAUUCCCUGCAAGUCUCACUUCAC